rnacentral:tRNA from 1 species
GGAGAGGUGGCUGAGUGGUCGAAAGCGGCAGUCUCGAAAACUGUUGUGGCGCUUGCGUCACCGUGGGUUCGAAUCCCACCCUCUCCGCCA